ensembl:snoRNA Gm23891 small nucleolar RNA SNORA17
CCUGUCCCUUGCAGUAUUGCAGAUGUGGGAGCUGUGUCACAUGUGUAUGAGUUGGUGGCAGAAAUGAGAGAAGCUAUGUUUAUGGUCAGUGCCCUGACCUAUGAACAUUUGAACGAUUAGUAACCUAACAUU